UCUCUCUACCUGAGAGCUUCUCUCUCCUCAUUCUCGCCGGAAAUCGCCGCCGCACAGCCACCGGUCUCCGCCGUUGCCAGAAUCCGGAUUUCAACCAAAAUUUCCAGAUUUUCUCCUCUUCCUCCCCUCUUUCCAUUUCUCCAACCAAAAUCAAGAAAUUUGGCCAUUCAAUCCUCCAAAUACCCUAGAACCCGGAGCUAAUUUGGGGGUUUUUGUGAUUUCUUCUUUCCAAGCUUAAAUCAAGGUAAUAUCCCUCCUAAUCUAGCCUCUAUUCAUCCGAUCUACACCUAUUUCUUCAUAAAUCUGAGUUUUUGAUUUUGAUUUGUGAUUUUGUUUGCAUGAACCCGAUAUCUCCUUAAACCAUGAAGCUAGGCUACGGGUUUGGGAAGGAUUUGUGGUAAGGAUCUAUCCAUGCAACCUUGUUUUCGAGUUUUUUGGUUGAGAUGUUGAUGUUGGACGGAUUUGUAGGUGAAGAAGGCCAAGGAGAAGGAAUAGGCCGUGAUUUUUGAAGAAGAAAGGGAAAAACGAUCGUUAAAGAAGCUUAAGCGGAAAGCAUCAGAUUGUGGAGUACGCCAGCAUUUUUCAGGUUACAACGAGGACAUUCCGGACGAUUUAGAUUAGAAGUGGGUCGUUGGCCGAGUUAGUGUGUUGUUGUUCCUGUUGCUUGAAGUUCUUCCCUUUUGGUAUUCCAUCGACUUACUCGUUUUUCAUUCCAUGUUGAACCCUGUGAGGUCCGCCUACUUGGGAGCGCGCCUCACCCCUUUGUUUUAUUGUUAUUGUUGAACUCCUUUCAUUUCGGUUAUGAUGUAAGCCCUAAGGCGUCACAGUGCACUUGCCCACUUUAUUUUUUUUAAGCAUUUACAGACUUGUUAUUUUGAAUGUUGGGUUGUUGAUUUAAAGCCCUUUCUAAAAUUUAGUAUUUCUUGGUCUCCUAUUUUCUAAAAAUUGCAUUUUCAAAAAGGCCUUGUAGUAUUAAGUUGGUAGGUAUACGGUAUGUCUACGACGUAUCGAGCUCCUAUGGGCUUAAUAUUACGGCGCUGUGGUAUACCCAUUCGGGUCACCAAAGUGCUUAUCAAAACCAGUGGGAUUCCGGACAGCGUGAUUCAGGUCAGCGCGAGUUGUGGCAGUAUGAUUCAGGUGUGAGCUGUGGCGACGUGAGGCAUGGUGGUUUGCGGCGGCGUAGAUCGGAGCGACAAGGGUUGUGGCUGAGCGGGUCGAAUUGUGCUGCUGGGCUUGUGGAGUGCGACAUGUCGUAUGGAGGGCUGAGCUUGUGGCGUAUGACAUGUCGUUGAGGGUGAUGGGCUGGGGCCAGACCAGCUUGAUGGGCUUUGGAGUUUGGGCUAUUCCUUUGGAUGCUUUGGGCCUGCUAUUUUGGGCUAGGGUUUUUCCCUUGGUGUUUACUAUGUUUUAGCUUGUCUUUUACAAUAAAUUCCUUGUAUUUAGGAUCCUACGCACUGAUGUGCACCGAAUGUCUCUCUAGCGUCUCUAGAGUAGUAUCAAAGGAGGAUAUCUGCUAAUUCUACAUAUUGAAUGUAUAAUGAGUAGGACUAUAUGUACGUACCACUAGCUUCUUGUCAGUCUAUGUCCUUAAAUGACAGCGAAAUGGUAUGUAACGGCCUAUUCUGG